CGUCAAACCAUACGAGGCGCAAACAUUUUGCAAUAGGGAGUAUUGCUUGCCUUCUUGAGCGUUGUAUUGGGAAUGCUGCGAGUUUACGUCCUGCUGACCGGUGUCGCAUUCCAUCCCUACUGUGGGUGAUGGUGUCAGAAUAAAAACAUUUCGUUGAAAAUCGUACCUUGAGUACUGUUAUACUGAUUCGCAAAGUUCGCCAGAUUGUUGCCGCCUUUUAGAGAUUCGUAGAACGGCGGCAAAGAACCAGUUGGCGGUGAGCUCGGUCCGUAAUUUCCCCGGCCGCCGUUUCCUCCGGGAUUCAUUCCACCGCCGGCACCUCCGCCCACAGCACCGCCACCUCCGCUACCGCCCGUAGCCGCUCCUCCUCCGCAGUAACUACCACUUCCGCCUGAAUUCGAAGAGGAGGAACUGCCCGAGUUGUUCGAGGUGUUGCUGGACCCGGAACUGCUGCUCCCUCCGGAAUUGGACGUUCUUCCGUGACCGGCGGCUGCGUGGACCACUUGGGGACCGGACAGUCUCAUGGCCAGGAGAGGCCUGGCAAUCGAGUUACCUAUCGCGCGUGACACUUUUGCGCCUUCGCGGCCUCGCUCCUCGUCCUCUUCCUUUCUCUUCGGCACAGCGUAAUCGAUAGGUUGCUCCUGCAAAGAUAACGAGUAACGUCAGCUGUCACGCAUUUCUGAGGAUUGCUCGGGACUGGUGGUAUGGUAUUAACAUAUGUUCCUAUUGGUAUUCAUAAAAUUCUUCCUGGUAUGCUGGCGCGGGGAGACGGACGAGCGGGGCGGAAAAGUUUAGCCUUGAUGAGGUGUUAACCACUACUGUUACGAAGGACAAACACCGCGAGCUAUAUAUAUAUUGAUAAUAAUGGAGUAUUUAUAACAAUCGAUAAUACAUUUUUCAACGAUCACUCAUUUAUUUAUCACGGUUAACUCGAGUUAUUAUCGCGUUGUCCAAGAUGAAAUUUAGGAUAAGGAUUUUUACCAGAGGAUUUAUUUUAUAUAAUUACUGUUUAUUUACGAUUAAAUCAUAAAUUUGAUAAUUCGGUAAAUGUGCCAAUUAACGAUCGUUUUAAAAUUGGAAACGUAUGAAAAAAAAUGUAAACUGUUGAGAGAGAAAGAGAGAGACAUCAGCUCGGCAAAAAACAUUGACUUUGGGAAGGAGGAACCCUUUGAAUGACCGAGACUCGUGUGGGCGGUUCGACUCUGGGCGUUUUCGGAGGAGUACUUGGUCUGGGCAAUACCAAUUUUUCCGAUUUCGUAAGGAAUUGUGUGGCAUCACUAGAAGAGGGCGCAAUUGGGGGAUUGCUGUACUCCUUGCGCUCCGCCCUGGUUAAAACAUGACCUCUGCUUCCAUACGGGAUAUCUCCGCCGAGGAUACUCGAGAUAAAUCGUCUGGGUGGCGUAUUAGUCGGAGUAUUUGUCGAUUGCCAUUGAGGGGGUGGAGACGAAGCCGGACUGCUACUGCGAAGCGAUUCCGGGGUCGUCGCCCGAUCAUCAUCCGUUUUCUCGCGAUCUAUAAAUCGUAUUAUUAUCAUUACAUGUUAUAAUCUUCCUGUAUAUCGAAUCUCCGACAUCUUUUCUUGCAAUUUUCAAUCCUUUCUUUUCUUAUCUUGUUCUUGCUUAUCUUCUUUUCUCAUAUUAAAUCUUGAAAAAAUUGUAACUUUUUCUUGACUCUUCAUAAAAAAAAAUGUUUCUAUUCAAAAUAAAAUAAUAAACGUUAAAUUAAUUUAUCCUGUAAAUGGGUUAUUAUUCGAUAUUGUUUGAGAUAAUAAACAAAUAAAUCAA